CGGCCGGUUUGGAAGACGUCAGAUGUGACGAUCAUUGAUUGUGCCUUAACAGCGAUUUUUUCCAUUCGUUUCCCUAUUUACUUGGUUCCUCCCGGCCGGACGGGUUAUCAGGCGCGGACACGCAGGCGCGAUCCCUAACCCUCCGGCGCUUGCGUGCCAAAUCUACGCGAAUAAAAUCCGAUCAGCUGUUGCCCCAAUUUCGCUACUCCACGACACUAGUUGUAUUAAACGGAGGAAGUGUAUAGUUGUCCGGGAUAUCUUGAGGACCUCACUUUUAAAGGCAUUUGGACAAGGCCUUCAGACAUGGUCUAUUUGAGCAAACCAUCACACGUUCACGUUUAUUAUAGAACAUUAUAAAAUAUUGUAUCAUUUUAACAGUCCUGAGAACCAAUAAAGGCAGACACGCGUUUAAACACCUCCCGCAUUACGGUACGUAAUUAUUAUACGUGUCGGUAUUCAAUGAAAAAGUAUUAUUCAAAUAUUAUAUACUGCAUUUUGGGGUCACAUAACGAUUUCCCGCAAGAUGAGAGAAAAAAAAACAAAAAAUGGAUUUGAUCAGUCUAGGGGCGUCAUUAAGCAGAGGCAGACUGGCCGGACUGGCAGUUCGGGCAGUUUGGUUGGAUAAGUAACUUGUCACUAUUUUUAAAUUACUAUACGAGUU